ensembl:snRNA U7 U7 small nuclear RNA
CGGUGUUACAGCUCUUCCAGAAUUUGUCUGGCAGGUUUUCCGGUCUGCACCAGAAAGCCCCC